UACGUAGGGUGCAAGCGUUGUCCGGAAUUAUUGGGCGUAAAGAGCUCGUAGGCGGCUUGUCGCGUCUGCUGUGAAAACUCAGGGCUUAACCCUGAGCCUGCAGUGGGUACGGGCAGACUAGAGUGUGGUAGGGGAGACUGGAAUUCCUGGUGUAGCGGUGAAAUGCGCAGAUAUCAGGGAGGAACACCGGUGGGCCGAAAGGCGGGUCUCGUGGGCCA
rnacentral:rRNA from 1 species